CCUACGGGAGGCAGCAGUGAGGAAUAUUGGUCAAUGGACGAGAGUCUGAACCAGCCAAGUAGCGUGAAGGAUGACUGCCCUAUGGGUUGUAAACUUCUUUUAUAUGGGAAUAAAAUGUUCCACGUGUGGGAUUUUGUAUGUACCAUAUGAAUAAGGAUCGGCCAACUCCGGGCCAGCAGCCGCGGUAAUACGGAGGAGCCGAGCGUUAUCCGGAUUUAUUGGGUUUAAAGGGAGCGUAGGUGGAUUGAUAAGUCAGUUGUGAAAGUUUGCGGCGCAACCGUAGAAUUGCAGUUGAAACUGGCAGUCGUGAGUACGGUAGAGGUAGGCGGAAUGCGUGGUGUAGCGGUGAAAUGCUUAGAUAUCACGAAGAACUCCGAUUGCGAAGGCAGUUCACUGGACUGCAACUGACACUGAGGCUCGAAAGUGUGGGUAUCAAACAGGAUUAGAUACCCGGGUAGUC
rnacentral:rRNA from 1 species